UUUGGUGAGGAUCUAUCAGGCAGGUUUCUGGAGAGGUGGCCAACAACAUUCAAAAGAAAGAUUAUCCAACAAGGCAGAAAGCUUCCUUCUGCCAGUGACCUAGAAGAACUCUUGCUGGUAGCUGACCCUCCUGAGGAUGCCAUUGAAGUUAAUGCUGGCAUUGGUUGGGACAGUGACCUCUCAACAAUUUUAUUGCUAUUACAUCUGAUUCCACCAUCUGGACAGGGUCGGAAGAGACCAGGAAAGCUCUACAGUGUCAGCUUCCCAAGCGGAAAAGCAUCUUGUGGUCUUUAAGAAGACUGGAACAAAUAUCCAAGAUCAUCUUCAUGCCAUCACUACUAGCACUCAACCCUACCUCCUGGCUGUUGGGGUGAAGAAGAAUAACAUCCACCAGUUCUUUAUUAUUCUUGACAAGAACGCCUUACCAUGCAAGUCAACCUCUUCUCUUGGUUCUUUUGGUGAAUUGUUUAAAGCACAUUUUGUGUUUGGCACAUCUUACAACACCAUGCUUCACAACAUGUACACAUUCAUCCAAACCACUGUGUACAACAUAGAUGUUGGCAAAGUCAAAGAAAGUCCCCGAGUUGCUGA